UUCCGGUUGAUCCUGCCGGACCUGACUGCUAUCGGAUUGAUACUAAGCCAUGCGAGUCAUUGUAGUAAUACAAGGCAGACGGCUCAGUAACGCGUAGUCAACCUAACCUAUGGACGGGAAUAACCUCGGGAAACUGAGUAUAAUACCCGAUAGAACAUUAUGCCUGGAAUGGUUUAUGUUCCAAAUGAUUUAUCGCCGUAGGAUGGGACUGCGGCCUAUCAGUUUGUUGGUGAGGUAAUGGCCCACCAAGACUAUUACAGGUACGGGCUCUGAGAGGAGUGGCCCGGAGAUGGGUACUGAGACACGGACCCAGGCCCUAUGGGGCGCAGCAGGCGAGAAAACUUUGCAAUGUGUGAAAGCACGACAAGGUUAAUCCGAGUGGUUUCUGCUAAAGGAACCUUUUGUUAGUCGUAGAACCACUAACGAAUAAGGGGUGGGCAAGUUCUGGUGUCAGCCGCCGCGGUAAAACCAGCACCUCAAGUGGUCAGGAUGAUUAUUGGGCCUAAAGCAUCCGUAGCCGGCUCUGUAAGUUUUCGGUUAAAUCUGUACGCUUAACGUACAGGCUGCCGGGAAUACUGCAGAGCUAGGGAGUGGGAGAAGUAGACGGUACUCGGGAGGAAGUGGUAAAAUGCUUUGAUCUCUCGAUGACCACCUGUGGCGAAGGCGGUCUACUAGAACACGUCCGACGGUGAGGGAUGAAAGCUGGGGGAGCAAACCGGAUUAGAUACCCGGGUAGUCCCAGCUGUAAACUAUGUAAACUCAGUGAUGCAUUGGCUUGUGGCCAAUGCAGUGUUGCAGGGAAGCCGUUAAGUUUACCGCCUGGGUGGUACGUACGCAAGUAUGAAACUUAAAGGAAAUGGCGGGGGAGCACCACAAGGGGUGAAGCCUGCGGUUCAAUUGGAUUCAACGCCGGA
rnacentral:rRNA from 1 species